GGACUACACGGGUUUCUAAUCCUGUUUGCUCCCCAUGCUUUCGUACCUCAGCGUCAGUAUUAGGCCAGAUGGCUGCCUUCGCCAUCGGUAUUCCUCCAGAUCUCUACGCAUUUCACCGCUACACCUGGAAUUCUACCAUCCUCUCCCAUACUCUAGCUUCCCAGUAUCGAAUGCAAUUCCCAAGUUAAGCUCGGGGAUUUCACAUCCGACUUAAAAAGCCGCCUACGCACGCUUUACGCCCAGUAAAUCCGAUUAACGCUCGCACCCUCUGUAUUACCGCGGCGGCUGGCAC
rnacentral:misc_RNA from 1 species